rnacentral:rRNA from 1 species
AUUGAACGCUGGCGGCAGGCCUAACACAUGCAAGUCGAACGAGUGGCGGACGGGUGAGUAAUGUCUGGGAAACUGCCCGAUGGAGGGGGAUCACUACUGGAAACGGUAGCUAAUACCGCAUACCAUCGGAUGUGCCCAGAUGGGAUUAGCUAGUAGGUGGGGUAACGGCUCACCUAGGCGACAAUCCCUAGCUGGUCUGAGAGGAUGACCAGCCACACUGGAACUGAGACACGGUCCAGACUCCUACGGGAGGCAGCAGUAGGGAAUAUGGCACGAUAGGCGCAAGACUGAUGCAGCCAUGCAGAGUGUAUGAAGAAGGCCUUAGGAUUGUAAAGUACUUUAAGCGAGGAGGCGUUACUCGCAGAAGAAGCAUGGGCUAACUCCGUGCAAGAAGCCGCGGGAAUUC